rnacentral:rRNA from 1 species
AUUGAACGCUGGCGGAAUGCUUUACACAUGCAAGUCGAACGGCAGCACGGGGGCAGCCCUGGUGGCGAGUGGCGAACGGGUGAGUAAUACAUCGGAACGUGCCCGGUCGUGGGGGAUAACGUAGCGAAAGUUACGCUAAUACCGCAUACGAUCUGAGGAUGAAAGCGGGGGACCUUCGGGCCUCGCGCGAUCGGAGCGGCCGAUGUCAGAUUAGGUAGUUGGUGGGGUAAAGGCCUACCAAGCCGACGAUCUGUAGCUGGUCUGAGAGGACGACCAGCCACACUGGGACUGAGACACGGCCCAGACUCCUACGGGAGGCAGCAGCGGGGAAUUUUGGACAAAGGGCGCAAGCCUGAUCCAGCCAUUCCGCGUGCAGGACGAAGGCCUUCGGGUUGUAAACUGCUUUUGUACGGAACGAAAAGGCUCUGGCUAAUACCUGGGGCUCAUGACGGUACCGUAAGAAUAAGCACCGGCUAACUACGUG